AGCGAACGCUGGCGGCAGGCCUAACACAUGCAAGUCGAACGGAUCCUUCGGGAUUAGUGGCGGACGGGCGAGUAACACGUGGGAACGUGCCCUUUGGUUCGGAACAACUCAGGGAAACUUGAGCUAAUACCGGAUGAGCCCUUCGGGGGCAAGAUUUAUCGCCAAAGGAGCAGCCCGCGUCUGAUUAGGUAGUUGGUGGGGUAACGGCCUACCAAGCCGACGAUCAGUAGCUGGUCUGAGAGGAUGAUCAGCCACACUGGGACUGAGACACGGCCCAGAGUCCUACGGGAGGCGGCAGUGGGGAAUAUUGGACAAUGGGCGGAAGCUGGAUCCAGCCAUGCCGCGUGAGUGAUGAAGGCCUUCGGGUUGUAAAGCUCUUUCGCACGCGACGAUGAUGACGGUAGCGUGAGAAGAAGCCCCGGCUAACUUCGUGCCAGCCGCCGCUGUAA
rnacentral:rRNA from 1 species